UACCAGCUCUCCGAGUGGUGUGGAUGUUUAUUGGGCCUAAAGCAUCCGUAGCUGGCUGGACAAGUCCCCUGUUAAAUCCACCGAUUUAAUCGUUGGUGUGCGGGGGAUACUGUUCGGCUAGGGGACGGGAGAGGCCGACGGUAUUUCCGGGGUAGGGGUGAAAUCCUAUAAUCCCGGGAAGACCACCAGUGGCGAAGGCUGUCGGCUAGAGCGCGCCCGACGGUGAGGGAUGAAAGCUGGGGGGAGCGAACCGGAUUAGAUACCCGGGUAGUCCCAGCUGUAAACGAUGCAGGCUAGGUGUUUGGGCGGCCACGUGCCGCUCUAGUGCCGCAAGGAAGCUGUUAAGCCUGCCGCCUGGGGAGUACGGCCGCAAGGCUGAAACUUAAAGGAAUUGGCGGGGGAGCACCACAAGGGGUGAAGCUUGCGGUUU
rnacentral:rRNA from 1 species